AUCCAACUGAUGAGUUCUAAAUAGGACGAAACGCGCGUCUUGGAU
rfam:Schistosoma mansoni strain Puerto Rico chromosome 6, complete genome